rnacentral:rRNA from 1 species
AUACGGAGGAUCCGAGCGUUAUCCGGAUUUAUUGGGUUUAAAGGGUGCGCAGGCGGCCAUUUAAGUCAGCGGUUAAAUCGUGGGGCUCAACCCCAUUCUGCCGUUGAUACUGGGUGGCUUGAUUGCGGUCGAGGUUGGCGGAAUUCGUUGUGUAGCGGGGAAAUGCAUAGAUAUGACGAAGAACACCGAUUGCGUAGGCAGCUGACCAGAUCGCAAAUGACGCUCAUGCACGAAAGUGCGGGGAUCGAACAGGAUUAGAUACCCUGGUAGUCCGCACAGUAAACGAUGAAUACUUGUUUUCGGCGAUAUAAUGUCGGAGGCAAAGCGAAAGCGAUAAGUAUUCCACCUGGGGAGUACGCCGGCAACGGUGAAACUCAAAUGAAUUGACGGGG